ACUCGCGAAUUCGUAUAGUGUUUGUGAAUGUGUAAGUGCAGGAAAUGAGUGACGUGAUUUUGAACCAAGUUUUUUUUCCAAAACUUUGUUAGGAGGAUUAUGUGUCUCCAUCCGACCCCUGGCCAAUACCAGAUAUUUGGGUAGAGGUGACAGAUGAAGAAAGACGGGUGUACUUGGUAUACGAUGACGUCACUCCGGAACUUCAUGCCGCUCCGAAGAUGAAUGUUUGGAGUUAUCGGAGAGCGGUCAACGACGAUGAAGCCCGUCAAAACGCUGCCCGUUCACGAGCAUUAAGGAAACGGAGGAAAGCAAAAGAAACUGUUAUCUGUGGGAAAAGGAAGUUCGAGCCGUCUUCAUGGACUGAUAUUGUUUUCAAAAAAACUCCGAGUUAUUCAAGAGAGAGAAAAACAGGAGAAAGAAGAAGAAAAUAAAUGGAAGUUGAUUCCAAUAGAUUUUGACUCGCCACGACCCCCAAAUGUGGAGAAGCUGAGCAAUAAUCUGAAGAGAGUGGUGCUAUCCGAGAACGAUGAGAAUGAAAUAGAAGACCCAAGAAAGAAGAAGAAGAAACGAAAUUGAAUGCUAUCACAUUAAUGCAGUUAUGA
rnacentral:misc_RNA from 1 species